AAUUAAUUUCAUUUCAAGGUAUACGUAUAAUAUGACAAUCAAAAUCAUAUUUACACAACGAUCCACUUAUUUUCCUUGUUGUGUUUGUGGACACUCAAGACAUCUUAAGGUUGUUAAUUCACUACUGUAUAUACUUGUCACCAUAGAAAACACAAGUCCACAAUGAGAUUUACAUUAAGUUCAGUUUCAAGAUAGCAAAUUUUCCCACA
rnacentral:lncRNA from 1 species